CAGAAAGUAGUUUAAAUUUAGGUUUAAGAUCUUAGCUUUGGGGGUUAAGGAUGUGGGUUAAAGUCCCUCCUUUCUGA
rnacentral:tRNA from 1 species